rnacentral:rRNA from 1 species
AUGAACGCUGGCGGCGUGCCUAAUACCUGCAAGUCGAGCGAACAGAUGAGGAGCUUGCUCCUCUGACGUUAGCGGCGGACGGGUGAGUAACCCGUGGAUAACCUACCUAUAAGACUGGGAUAACUUCGGGAAACCGGAGCUAAUACCGGAUAAUAUAUUUAACCGCAUGGUUCAAUAGUGAAAGACGGUUUUGCUGUCACUUAUAGAUGGAUCCGCGCCGCAUUAGCUAGUUGGUAAGGUAACGGCUUACCAAGGCAACGAUGCGUAGCCGACCUGAGAGGGUGAUCGGCCACACUGGAACUGAGACACGGUCCAGACUCCUACGGGAGGCAGCAGUAGGGAAUCUUCCGCAAUGGGCGAAAGCCUGACGGAGCAACGCCGCGUGAGUGAUGAAGGUCUUCGGAUCGUAAAACUCUGUUAUUAGGGAAGAACAAAUGUGUAAGUAACUAUGCACGUCUUGACGGUACCUAAUCAGAAAGCCACGGCUAACUACGUG